UGCCUAACACAUGCAAGUCGGGCGGAAACGAUGGGAGCUUGCUUCCAGGCGUCGAGCGGCGGACGGGUGAGUAACGCGUGGGAAUAUGCCCUUUAGUGGGGGAUAACUCGGGGAAACCCGAGCUAAUACCGCAUAAUCUCUAUGGAGUAAAGCAGGGGACCUUCGGGCCUUGCGCUAGAGGAUUAGCCCGCGUUGGAUUGCCCGCGUUGGAUUAGCUAGUUGGUAAGGUAAUGGCUUACCAAGGCGACGAUCCAUAGCUGGUCUGAGAGGAUGAUCAGCCACACUGGGACUGAGACACGGCCCAGACUCCUACGGGAGGCAGCAGUGGGGAAUAUUGGACAAUGGGGGCAACCCUGAUCCAGCCAUGCCGCGUGAGUGACGAAGGCCUUAGGGUUGUAAAACUCUUUUGGCGGGGACGAUAAUGAACUCUUUUGGCGGGGACGAUAAUGACGGUACCCGCAGAAUAAGCCCCGGCUAACUUCGUGCCAGCAGCCGCGGUAAUACGAAGGGGGCUAGCGUUGUUCGGAAUCACUGGGCGUAAAGCGCGCGUAGGCGGUUUGUUUAGUGGGAUGUGAAAGCCCCGGGCUUAACCUGGGAACUGCAUUCCAAACUGACAGACUAGAGUACAAGAGAGGAGGGUAGAAUUUCCGGUGUAGCGGUGAAAUGCGUAGAGAUCGGAAGGAAUAUCAGUGGCGAAGGCGGCCCUCUGGCUUGAUACUGACGCUCAGGUGCGAAAGCGUGGGGAGCGAACAGGAUUAGAUACCCUGGUAGUCCACGCCGUAAACGAUGUCGACUAGCCGUUGGGGAGCUUGACUUCUUAGUGGCGCAGUUAACGCGGUAAGUCGACCGCCUGGGGAGUACGGCCGCAAGGUUAAAACUCAAAUGAAUUGACGGGGGCCCGCACAAGCGGUGGAGCAUGUGGUUUAAUUCGAUGCAACGCGAAGAACCUUACCUACUCUUGACAUCCAGAAGAUUUAGCAGAGAUGCUUUAGUGCCUUCGGGAAUUCUGAGACAGGUGCUGCGUGGCUGUCGUCAGCUCGUGUCGUGAGAUGUUGGGUUAAGUCCCGCAACGAGCGCAACCCGUGUCCUUAGUUGCCAGCCUUUAGUUGGGGAACUCUAAGGAGACUGCCGGUGAUAAACCGGAGGAAGGUGGGGACGACGUCAAGUCAUCAUGGCCCUUACGGGAUGGGCUACACACGUGCUACAAUGGCAAGUACAGAGGGCAGCAAUACCGCGAGGUGGAGCGAAUCCCACAAAGCUUGUCGUAGUCCGGAUCGGAGUCUGCAACUCGACUCCGUGAAGUCGGAAUCGAUAGUAAUCGUGAAUCAGAAUGUCACGGUGAAUACGUUCCCGGGCCUUGUACACACCGCCCGUCACACCAUGGGAGUGGGUUGCAAAAGAAGUGGCUAGUUUAACCUUCGGGAGGACGGUCACCACUUUGUGAUUCAACUGGGGUAAAGUCGUAACAAGGUAGCCGUAGGGGAACCUGCGGCUGGAUCACCUCCUU
rnacentral:rRNA from 1 species